rnacentral:rRNA from 1 species
UACGUAGGGGGCAAGCGUUGUCCGGAAUCAUUGGGCGUAAAGAGCGUGUAGGCGGUCCGAUAAGUCCGCUCUGAAAGCCCGGGGCUCAACCCCGGGAGGCGGGCGGAUACUGUCGGGCUAGAGUCCGGAAGAGGCAAGUGGAAUUCCUGGUGUAGCGGUGAAAUGCGCAGAUAUCAGGAGGAACACCGGUGGCGAAGGCGGGUCUCUGGGCCGAUACUGACGCUGAGGAGCGAAAGCGUGGGGAGCAAACAGG